rnacentral:rRNA from 1 species
AUUGAACGCUGGCGGCAUGCUUUACACAUGCAAGUCGAACGGUAACAGGCCGCAAGGUGCUGACGAGUGGCGAACGGGUGAGUAAUGCAUCGGAACGUGCCCAGUCGUGGGGGAUAACGCAGCGAAAGCUGCGCUAAUACCGCAUACGAUCUAUGGAUGAAAGCGGGGGACCGUAAGGCCUCGCGCGAUUGGAGCGGCCGAUGUCAGAUUAGGUAGUUGGUGGGGUAAAGGCUCACCAAGCCAACGAUCUGUAGCUGGUCUGAGAGGACGACCAGCCACACUGGGACUGAGACACGGCCCAGACUCCUACGGGAGGCAGCAGUGGGGAAUUUUGGACAAUGGGCGCAAGCCUGAUCCAGCAAUGCCGCGUGCAGGAAGAAGGCCUUCGGGUUGUAAACUGCUUCUGUACGGAACGAAACGGUCCUGGUUAAUACCCGGGGCUAAUGACGGUACCGUAAGAAUAAGCACCGGCUAACUACGUGCCAGCAGCCGCCGUAAGAC